AUUGAACGCUGGCGGCAGGCUUAACACAUGCAAGUCGAACGAGUGGCGGACGGGUGAGUAAUGCUUGGGAAUCUAGCUUAUGGAGGGGGAUAACUACGGGAAACUGUAGCUAAUACCGCGUACCAUAGGAUGAGCCCAAGUGGGAUUAGGUAGUUGGUGUGGUAAAGGCUCACCAAGCCGACGAUCUCUAGCUGGUCUGAGAGGAUGACCAGCAACACUGGGACGGAGCAACGGCCCAGAUUCCUACGGGAGGCAGCAGUGGGGAAGAUUGCACAAUGGGGGCAAGCCGGAUGAAGCAAUGCCGCGUGUAGGAAGAGGGCCUUAGGGUUGUAAAGAACGUUAAGUCGGGAGGCGUUACCGACAGAAGAAGCACCGGCUAACUCCGUGCCAGCAGCCGCGGUAAUAC
rnacentral:rRNA from 1 species